ensembl:lncRNA
UCGGACUGAAUCUAGGGGGUAACAGCUCAAACGAGAUUUGGAAGAACACGACCUGAAAGUCUCCUUCAACGAUGUAUCACAAAAAAUGGAGACGACAAAAUGCACAAUUACGCGCAUUGGUGGAUUCUAGUGACUCAGAUGAGAAUCCAGGUGCCUCAAAUGAGAAUCCUGGCCCCUCUUUUGCUGAUAGUCCAAAAGACAUACAGACACCGGAGCAGUCUGAUACAGGAGAAGACGAGUAUCGAGAUGAUCAUCACCCGCCAGACAGUGAUGGUGAAAGUGAUUCAGAAAUUGGAACUUUGUCCGAGGAGGAAUCAAGUGAUCUAAGAAGUGAUUUGGCAAAAUGGGCUGUAAAAAAUAAGGCAACGCGCACAUCGGUUGAUGAGCUGCUCUUGGUGUUAUGUAAACAUGGCCACCGGCUGCCAAAAGAUGCCAGAACCCUG